rnacentral:rRNA from 1 species
UACGUAGGGGGCAAGCGUUGUCCGGAUUUAUUGGGCGUAAAGCGCGUGUAGGCGGCCAGACAGGUCCGUUGUGAAAACUCGAGGCUCAACCUCGAGACGCCGAUGGAAACCCCCGAACUAGAGUCCGGAAGAGGAGAGUGGAAUUCCUGGUGUAGCGGUGAAAUGCGCAGAUAUCAGGAAGAACACCCGUGGCUAAGGCGGCUCUCUAGUACGGUACUGACGCUGAGGCGCGAAAGCGUGGGGAGCGAACAGG